CUCGGCUUGGAGGGAAAUGGGCAGAAAGGGAGAGCAGCUCGCAAGCAGCUCCUCAGGAGAGGCAGCAGCCCCCAGGCCUGGGCGCCUGGCAACCUCCACCCAGGGGAAGGGAGCAGCCGCUCAGUGAAGCUCCGCACAGGCCUGAAACCCACACUGCCGGCUGAAACCCGCUCUGCUGCUUAUCAGCACUCUGUGCCUCAGUAUUCUCAUCUGUAAAGGGGAUCAGUAUCACAGCAAGACUGCUAAAAGGAUCAAACAGUCUGCGCAACGUGUUUAGAACAGCGCCUUGCGCUGUUAGCUGCGAUGGCAGCCUGUGCCCGCACAGCCUCGCUCUGUCUCACAGGGACCAACAGGAGAGGAAUGACCACACCUGCCCUGGGGCACUCACCUCUCCUGCCCAGGGGCGGGCGGCCCAGGAAGCUCCAGGGUCCUGCGGAUGUGCUCUCGGGAGCGGAUGUCAGCCUGGAAGAGAGGGGAGAGGUGCUGGGUCCUGAGCUGGCCUUCGGACCGCCCUGCCCUGCCCAACAUCCUAGCGCAGCAGCCCAGCCUGGCCAGCAGGAGGGCGCUGUGACCCAGGGGCUGCGCCAGAGCCGCAGAGGAAGGGCCCAGACGCCAGGACGGGAGAGGGCAGCCGCUGACCCCACCCCGCACGCUCUCCCAGAAGCUUCCGGAGGCAGCGUCAGGAGGGAAACUGUUA